GACGUAGGGCGCGAGCGUUGUCCGGAUUUAUUGGGCGUAAAGAGCUCGUAGGCGGCUUGUCGCGUCGUCCGUGAAAACUUGGGGCUCAACCCCAAGCUUGCGGUCGAUACGGGCAGGCUAGAGUUCGGUAGGGGAGACUGGAAUUCCUGGUGUAGCGGUGAAAUGCGCAGAUAUCAGGAGGAACACCGGUGGCGAAGGCGGGUCUCUGGGCAAUAACUGACGCUGAGGAGCGAAAGCGUGGGGAGCGAACAGG
rnacentral:rRNA from 1 species